AGCGAGAGGCAGUGACACUGAGCGGGCGCAGGGGGCCGAGUCGGAGACCGUGCCGGAGUUCGGGAGCGGCAACAGAGUGGGCAUAGACACUCCGAGCAGCCUCGCCGUCGUCUCUGCGUUCCUGUUGACUGCCUGGCUGCCCCCUCCCCUACUCCUCGGUUCCUGGUGAAGAGGCUGCGCGCUGCUGUUUGGGGAGGGGGUGUGUGGAGCCGGGUCCUGUGUCCGCAGUGGCUGCUGUCGGGGGGUCGCCUGUUCGCGGAGGUGCGGAGAGACUCCUUGGGGGUCGAGCACAUAACGGGGUUCGGGUGUCUCGUGUGUGAACAUCACAGGUCUAUUCUGGAUAAGCAGGUUUUGUGAAGACAUUUAUUCUUUCUUGGACCUCAGAUUUACCAGACAUCUCAUGACGGAGUCUCGCUCUGUCACCAGGCUGGAGUGCAGUGGCGCGAUCGCAGCUCACUGCAGCCUCUGACUCCCUAGUUCAAGCGAUUCUCCUGCCUCAGCGUCCUGAGUAGCUGGGAUUACAGGCACAUGCCACCAAGCCCAGAAUGCUGUUAUGUCCCAGGCACUGUGCAGUUUGGAAGACAAGCAGCAAUAGCACAAAUAGAAGUCAUUGUCUGAAGGAAGUUUGUGGCAAGCUCUUUACUGAAACAUCUCAAGUGUGGGUUUGUGGAUGCACUUA
rnacentral:lncRNA from 1 species